rnacentral:lncRNA from 1 species
CGGUUUGGGGGCUCUGAGGGACUUGGGCGCUGCCCCUGAGCCAUCCCUGCGCUCUGGUCCUUGCUCGACUGUCUGCUGCACUUCCUGCGCACGAUGUCUUGGUCAGUGCGCGUGCCCGCCCACGGUGCAGCCUGCUGUUCUCACCAGACGUUCCCCCCACCCUCCCGCUCCUGCUUGGGGGAGAGUGGAUGAGAUCACUGCCCCGGGGCCAGGCGGACACCAGGCCUGUCAGCACCACUCGCUCGCAGGUAUUUAUUGGGACGUGGGGGAUCCAGCCCUGAACAAAACAGACAAGGAUCGGUGCCCCACGGACCUUAAAGGAAGCAAGGAAGGAGACAGUUGAGCACUGUCGGGGUGUCAAAGCAGCUCAGUCCUUUGCUAGGACACAAGGUUCCCAGGACCAAGGAUUCGAUCGCCUAGUUCACGCCUUCCUGCAGCCCGCAGCCCCGGGACAGCCGAGCGAGGCACGCGCAGUUUAUGGGUCUGAACUGGGCUGGCGCGGGAUACCAGCCCCGGGCACGACCCCACUCCUCCACAGGGCUGCCUCCAACGGCAGACUACCAGAAGCCGAGUACCAUUGGAAGCAGAGAAGUCCUGUUACCUCCAGCUCUGGCCACAGGCACCUUCUCGUGUGAGCGGCCUGGCGGCUCCCCUUGCACCAAGCCGCUGGGCAGAACACGCCGGCAUUUGUCUGACAGCUCGCGGGAGACGCCCGGACGCGGGCUUCACACGCAGGUGGGCUGUGCAUCGCAACACGUGGUGCUGAUUAUCCUGAGACUGACGUUGGGCCAAGUCCCCAGUAGGUUGUAUUAAUAUCAAUAUUAGCAAUAUUUCUGUAUUGUAUGUAUCAUAAAAUGUGUUUUUCAAUUGUAAUAGUGUAUUAGGGUGAUUACUGUUAUAUUAAUAACCAACAGUACAGCGUUAGCAUAUUAAACAUGCUUCGGCUUCGUGUUUUCCUUAUGGCCAAUCUCUUUAUUUGGAACCAGUGUACCUCUUAGCAACAGCUAACUCUUUUUUUUUUUUUUUUUUGGUUUUCUUGAUUUUCAUGUUUUUUUUAAUGUUUUUUUAUUAUAUUAUGUUAGUCACCAUACAGUACACCCCCGGUUUCCGAUGUAAAGUUCGAUGAUUCAUUAGUUGCGUAUAACACCCAGUGCACCAUGCAAUACGUGCCCUCCUUACUACCCAUCACCAGCCUAUCCCAUUCCCCCACCCCCAUCCCCUCUGAAGUCCUCAGUUUGUUUCUCAGAGUCCAUAGUCUCUCAUGCUUCAUUCCCC